AGGUGGGAGGCGGUGCGCCCUUCAGAAUCCGGCAGGAAGGACAGAGUGGGCGAGUCAAGUGUGAAAAGACGGUGACCUCCUGUGCGUGUGACGUUGGGGUCAACUUUCUUACCGUGCGUGCCCCUCUCUGGGUCUCUCAUUCCCUGCACAUACGCACCUCUUCCCCCAGCUCCCUCUACUAGUUUCCGGCUGGUAACUCCUCCGUUUCAUUCAUCCUGGGGAGGCACCGAGGGGACCAGGAAAGUGGGGUGCAGGAAAUCAAAAUGGGGCGAAAAGGAGGAAUGGCCAAGGAGAGAAGCGAGUAAAUUUCGGACGAGCCAAAGGCCUCAGGGGCGUCCCAAGUUCUCACUUGAGUCCCCACCCCCUUCAAGAGAAAAAGAAAAGGUGAAGGAAUUUGCAGUUCUGACCAUGUUUUUGCUUUUGCUGUUGCCUCCGUUUGGAAUGAUCUCCCUCUCCCCGCUUGGUGAUUGCCUAUUCAUAUUUUAGGACCCAACUGGGGUCACUCUGAAAGUUUCUUGAGCCUUGCCCUUCUUCCUUCUCAAAGUACAGUUGCUUAGUUACCCCACCGAAUUUCGAGAACAUUCAAAAGAGAGAGCGAGUUCAAAACUGGACUGGCUUUGAUUACUGGCCUGGUCACUUUAGGUGACCUUGGGCAAGUUACAUAAGGUCUGUGAGCUUCAGGAUCCUUAUCUUUCAAAAGAAGUAACAGUGCGUGGAUCUUAGGGUUGUGGGAAUAAGACAAACAGGUACACAAAAAGGAAAAGUGGCUCUGGGGAAGAUCCGAGUGAGUCUACUCAAAGGAAUACUCAAUAGGAGACAAAGGUUUGGCAGAAAUUACGGAAACAAUCUGGAUCUCAGAGCACCAUCUUGAAUCUCAACAAGAAUAAUAUAUCUGGAAUUAACUAUUAUAGCUGGUGGCAACCUUUGCUAUUCCUCAGAGCAAGGUGACCAACUCAUCUUUGUUUUAGCACUUCAAGUCCUACAUCCGGAAAACCCCUCAGUACUGGGCAAUCUGGGAUGGCUGGUCACCCUACCUAGGAGUGUCGAAUUUCCUAUCCGUCCUGACUUUGAUCCUCUCAGGAAAUGUUUGGCAUUCACUGAAGACUGACCUUUAUGCAUAUCCAAGCAUCUCAUGUGGGAUUAACUCAUUAAGUGAGCUAACAUGUUGUAAAAUACUUUGCACAAUGCUUGAGAUAUAGUAUGCUCAACAAAUGCUAUUAUUUUAUUUCUUAUUUAUUUUUUGGCUGCACCACACAGCACAUGGUAUCUUAGUUCCCCGACCAGUGAUCGAACCCGUGCCCCCUGCUGUGGAAGCACAGAGUCUUAACCACUGGACCACCAGGGAAGUCCCAACAAAUGCUGUUAUUUAAGGGAGAACUGAGAGGAUAUUCAAUUUAUGACAGCAUGAAAGAAGGAAUAUGAGUUAGUGGGAAGGAGAUUCGAGUAUUCUGUACUUGUUUGCCUUCAUGACUUGUACUUACUAAAACUGUGAUAGCAGAGCGGUUGUGGAAGCAACAAGGAAGGAUAUGACUGAAAGUCACAGCCAAAGCUGGGCUUAUGCAGUUACAACCAUGUAAGCAGGGCAGUGAAAGCUGAGAGCACCCGCUAGUAGAAGUCUGUUAUUCCAACCGAGGGCACUUACAGCAGGUUGGGGACUGCUGUGCUGGUGGAGAGCAAAAGAUGUAAAGUAAGGAGACCUGAGAAGCAUCAGCUUCAGGAAAUACCAGGUUCCUCUUGAGACAAACUGUUUGCAAAGAAUUCCAUCUCAGGAGGAAAUAUGAACAAAACAAACAUUCCUAAGGCCCUCAAGACUCGGUUUCAUAAAUCAUGCCAGCAUUAGGUGAUGAAAGAGCCUGGCUUCCCUCCCUCGCAGCCUAAUCUGCUCUCCACUGCCCACAUUUUAACCAUUCCUGGCCGGGUGUACUGUUGGCUUCUACUUCUACUUCAGGCUGACUUCCUUCUAACUAUAAUCUUCAGACAAGUAGGAAGCGUUGCUGUCUGAAAGAACUGGGAGAAAGAUCUACUCAGAUUCUCGUCCUGGCUCUGAAACAACAUACUGUGGCCUUAGGUAAGUGUGGAUCUUAGUUUCCUCAAAAAUAAAAUGAAGGGGUGAUGGACUAAAUUUCCUCUCCUGUCAUUCCAUGCAUGACUCUGUGACAUAUCCUGGUAAAGGAUGAGAGUACGGGAGGUAACACAUCCUCUGUGAGCCACUUGAGAGCAAGAGGUUGUAUCUUUGUAGCCUUAGUACCUAAAUACAGUGUUGGUCAGUAACCGUUUAUGAGAUUUGUGGAUGAGAAUGGCUUGGGAUUCAAAAGACCCAGAUUUGAAUGCAAUUAUUGGUGGUACUGACUGUGGGUAACUGAGCAAAUCUGGUUCAGAGCACCUUAGCAUCUCUAUCUGCAAAAAAGCUGGAGUGCGAUUUACCACAGCCUUACGACUCUCCAGAAUUAAUGAAUGGCUGUGAGCGAACCUACAGCUGUGCAGGUGAAAAGAACUCUGUGUUUUCAAGAUCUUGGGUUAUCCCAGUCAACUGAAAUUUGCUUCCUAGGCAGAUGCAGGAUGAACAUGUAUUGCUUGCCCUGAUUUUAGACAAAAGACUACCCAGAAUAGGCUGUGAUUCUUUCAUCCGCUUCGCUUUUUGAUGAGAUCGUGCAGAAAGCUUUAGCCUGCGACAAUGAUUCUCUCUGGCUAACACAGUAAUCAAACAAGUCUUGCUGCUUCCCUCAGCAGAAACAAAUCAAU